ACGUUUAUUUGUUUGCAUUCUGGUGUAUUUUGGAAUGUUAGACGCACUAUUAGCUGAAGAGAAAGUUCCGCAGGAGUAUUCAAGUCGAAUUCAGGUUAUUCUAUGCAAUGACUGUGAAAGGAAAGGAAAUGCUUCCUUCCACUGGCUGUAUCACAAGUGCCCUCAUUGUGGUUCAUACAAUACCAGGCUUCUAUAAGCCAAAUACACAGGCGGCUGUUGAACCCAUAAAGAGUUUACAGCAUUGUUUUCCUUGGAAUCCAUGUAAGUUGCAUUGUAAUUGGCAGCGUUGGCACUAU